rnacentral:rRNA from 1 species
AACGAACGCUGGCGGCAUGCCUAACACAUGCAAGUCGAACGAAACCUUCGGGUCUAGUGGCGCACGGGUGCUUAACGCGUGGGAACUUGCCCUUAGGUUCGGAAUAACUCCCCGAAAGGGGUGCUAAUACCGGAUAAUGUCUUCGGACCAAAGAUUUAUCGCCUUUGGAUGGGCCCGCGUUGGAUUAGCUAGUUGGUAGGGUAAAAGCCUACCAAGGAGACGAUCCAUAGCUGGUCUGAGAGGAUGAUCAGCCACACUGGGACUGAGACACGGCCCAGACUCCUACGGGAGGCAGCAGUGGGGAAUAUUGGACGAUGGGCGAAAGCCUGAUCCAGCAAUGCCGCGUGAGUGAUGAAGGCGUUAGGGUUGUAAAGCUCUUUUACACGGGAUGAUAAUGACAGUACCGGGAGAAUAAGCUCCGGCUAACUACGUG